UAUAUUUAAUUACAAGUGUGCCCCUGGUAGUCUUUAACUGAAGGGCACUGACUGGGUCACUGGUGAAGUUCCCCGCAGGAACUGAGUCAGACCCCAUCUCAGGGCCCUGCACAAGAUAGGUGCCUGCUCUAAGGCGUGGACCCUCGCCACAGCCCUGGCCCGUCUUGACGGGCGAGGGUUACUGUACUUGUCCCAACCGUACAGAUGAGAAAGCUGAGACUCAGGGCCAGCAACCCGGGUCCCAGCGGAGCGCCCGGCACACGCCGACACUUCAGCACCAGUGGCGGUGGCCACCACUGUGGGCGGAGAUGGCUGCGACGCGUGCGCAGAUACCUGGGAGAGAGGAUUUUUCAUGUUACCAACACAAAGAAAUGAUAAAGUGCUUCCCUUGCAGGUGAAAUGGCCACCAGACCCAGGCUUUCUGGAAUGCAUUCAUUUUCUGCAGUUGAAAGGGACAAUCCCGGAUCUGAAAGAAAGAGCCACAGUGACUCCAAGAGUGGAGCCAGGGCAUGCUGGACACUGCAUAGCUAUGGCCACGUGUGUCACCUCCGAGGGAGAUGUGAGAGAAACGCAGAGGGAUCGCUUGUGACUGUGCCUUCUCGAUGUAUGAUGGACUGUUCUGCUCAAAUAGCAGCAGUAGGGCUUAUGGGAGCCAUUGUACAGUGACAGGAACAUACCAGGACACUGAGAAUAGCGUCAUGUCAUAAGGACUCAGAGCAGGUGGACCCUGCUGUGAUGCACAAAGGUGAGGGUGCAGCUGCCCAGGACACACUCAUGCAUGUUUGUGUGGACCAUGGAAGAUGGCAGGGGAAGAGCUGUCAGGUUGCUGGGGCAGAGGGUGCGCAUGAGUACUCGCCUAGGACCAUGCAAGAUAUGAUAAAGAUCUAUGUCACUGAAUUUUGUUUCUGUAUUUGUAUCUCAGCUUCCCAGAAAUAAAAAAGAAUUCUAAC
rnacentral:lncRNA from 1 species